UAUUAUAUUCUUUUAAAAUAUAUAAAUAAAAAAAUUUUGGCUCAAAAUUAGACUCGAGCCAACUCUUGAGCCGGCUUGAGCUUGAGCCAAAUUUUCAGCUCCGACCUCGAGGGUUAAGCCAAAAUUUUCAGCUCCGACCUCUAAGUCUAAGCCAAAUUUUUGGCUCCGACCUCGAGGUUGAAGCCAAAAUUUUCAGCUCCGACCUCGAGGUUUAAAUCAAAUUUUCGGUUCCAACCUCGAGGUUUAAGCCAAAUUUUUGGCACCUACCUCGAGGUUGUAGCCGUUAAAAUUCGGCUUUUUAACAACAUUAAUUUUGACUUGAAUUAUAUGGAAAAUUUUUGCAAAAAAAAACAAUUUCGCGUUUUCUGACAAAUUCAUAUUCCAUUCUGGGGAUUUACAGUCGUUUUUAAUUUUUGCAGCGUUCCUUAUUUAUUCAUAAAUUCUUUGCGUUGAACAAAAUACUAUGGGAGAUAUGGAAAAUUUAUCUAGAAAAAAAUAUUUUACGCGCCGCAAAUAUCUGAAAAUGAUAAGAUACCUUCUAUUGGUGUGUCGAUCUGCCGUAUUUUUAGUCUUAACACUCUCUAUCACCCUGAACCAUUAUGAUUCUCGAACUGGAACAUGGAAAGAUUUAACCCCCAAUCACGGAGCGGUGACAUCCGACGUCAAACUAUGUUCGGAUAUAGGAGUCCAGCAGAUGAAAAAGGGGGGAAGCUCGAUAGACGCCAUAGUAGCAACCAUAUUUUGUAAAGGAGUUGUCAAUGGGGCACAUUCUGGCAUUGGAGGGGGAGGAAUGAUGAUCGUGUUAGAUUCUAAAUCCAAUGUCUCUCAAGUUAUAGACUUCAGAGAAACUAUGCCUAUGAACGCGGUGGAUCCAUGGGCUAAUAUAGGUUCUAUCAUAGGCGUUCCGGGAGAAGUAAAAGGGCUUUUCAAAGCCCACGAACUGUACGGAAAAUUAACUUGGAAGGAUAAUGUGGAACCAGCAAUGAAACUGGCGGAAAAUGGGUUUCCAAUUACGAAAGCGACAUACCGUGCCUUGGUAAAGGAAUUCGAAUCCCCUAGCCAAUUGGAAAGGGAUUUUCCUCAAAUAGCUUCCCUAUAUUUAUCCAAAAUCUCGAAUGCUACUGACUUUAGCAAUUCGACCAACCGAACCGUCCAAUAUCUUGAAGUCAGGAGCCUUAUCAAGAAUUUAGCGUUGGCCAAAGUUCUGAGAAGAAUCGCUAACGAAGGUCCAGCAGCUAUUUACGAAGGAAGUAUAGCGGAACACAUCGUCGAAGCUGUUAACGCAAAUGGAGGCGCAAUGACGUUACAGGAUUUGCGAGAUUACCAACCGAAAAUGAGGAACGCCUUCGAAACUUCCUUCCUAAAAGGAAGGUACACCAUCUUGUCUUGUCCGCCUCCGGCUUCUGGCCCUAUCUUGGGAUUAAUAUUCAAACUUUUAGAGAGAUUUGGAGCCUUCGAUAUGGUCAACGCUAGCCAAAUUACACCAUUCUUGGCUCAAUUUUACGAUAACACGUUGUCGUGCACUAUUCCUUGUGACAGGGCUGAGGAUAAAUCUUCCUGGGUGAUGAGUAUGAACUGCGGGGAUAAUAGGACUUGCGAUGACCCUAGAUCAACAAAUUCUAACCCUAAAGCAGACAGAUCAAGAAGGCAGAUAGUAAUAGAUCUUAAAAAUGGGAACAAUAUAUUGGUAAGGAUUCCCACAAAGCAUGAUAAUAAUUCGACUUCUUCAUUUAUUGACACUUGUACCCAAUAUCCUUAUUACUCGGAAACGGAUCUGAGGCAUUUCCCGAUUCAUCCUUUCUUUGAAAACGCUCCAAAUCUGAGUUUAGAUCAGUUAACCAUGUUUUAUCAUUGGGUUAUAGAAUCCUUCAAAUUGGCCUCGGUCUACAGUAACUACGUGGGAGAUCCCGGUCCUGAAUAUUCUCCGUAUUCGGAUAACGAUGUCUCUACAAAUUCUAACACAGAUGACAACAAGAUUCUAUAUAUGGUACAGAGCAUGUUUGAAAGCAGUAAUCUAGAUUUAUUGGCUAACAAGGUAUCUAACGAGCGUUCCAACAACAAAUAUAGCCAAGAAGUGUAUGGUAGCAAUGGCACUGCGCACGCUUCCGCAAUCGAUAAGAAUGACCUUAUCGUAUCGGUCACCACAUCCAUCAACAAUUCAUUCGGCUCUAAAGUGAUAUCUCAUGAUGGAAUUCUACUGAACGAUCAUUUGGAUGGUUUUACUAAGGAUAUAAAUUCAUUCAAUUACCCCGCUCCUGGCAAAAGACCUCAUACCUCUAUGGUUCCCACCAUAGCUUACGAUAGGCUUGCCGAUUGUGGCUACAAAAUUGCUUUGGGUGGUUCUAAUGGAACUAGAAUAAUCAGCGGAGUGACCCAGGUGCUCAUGUACGUUCUAGCCUUCGGCGAUACCCUGGAAACUGCCAUGGCCAGACCCAGGCUCUACUUUAAUCCUCAAACAGACAUUAUUGAAGUAGAAGAGAUUCAAAACAAGAGUCCUAGAAAGUCACCACGAAAUCAGCCUGUCCCUAAAAUAAGUUUGAUUCGGGCCUGAAAUACUAUUGGUUCGAACCAGACCAAGCCGGGCUCGUGCCUAAAAUCGAGAAAAUUUCCCGAAUCUCAUCUUACGAGGCUUAGAGAAGAAAAAUCACAAAUUUUUGAAAGUGGAAGGCCUCAAUAGUGUCCUGCCUCUCAUAAAAUUCCAGAAUAAAAUUUUUGCCAGCUCAGAUCCCA